CCCUGCCGGGCAGCCUGGGUAACCUCAGCCGUGCCCUGGGUGUCCUGGAGGAGCGUGUCAAUGGCUCGAGGCGCAGGGCGCGAAGGCAUGCUACCGACGGCGACUACAACAUCGAGGUCCUGCUGGGCGUGGACGACUCUGUGGUCCAGUUCCACGGGAAGGAGCACGUGCAGAAGUACCUGCUCACGCUCAUGAACAUUGGAAAUGGGAGUUAAUCGAUCUGUCCUUCUUUCCAUCUCGGACUCUCUGGAAGAUGAGAAGAGUUGGAAAUGUUUGCUGAGCCUCACAAGGGCCACUUGGGUGCAGAAAAGGUCUCACGGCAUUCAGACUACCCCCACCACUCAACCCAUUCCAGCACCUCCUGCCAGGUCCCAUUUCCUUCUUUUCCUCCCUAAAUCUAGAAAAAUAACAUUCUUUGUUUAUUAAAAGAUACUGUAUCUAACACAGACAACAUAUUAUUUAUGAUGGAAAAUUAGAAUAUAUUCCUGUAGGUGUGUGAA